UGAGAGGAAGAGCUUUCUUUCUUUUCUCGGGAUGCUUUUACAGAGGGGGUAAGAAGCGCUUCAUAAUAUGAACUCCCAUUACUCAUCUUAAAGAUGAGUAAAUGGAGUUCAUAAUGGCCAUCAAUGUGGUCAUUCAUUACUUUUCAUUUACAACAAAUAUAUUAUUAUUAUUAUAAUAUUAAAAAAAAGUAUUGCAGGUAUCGGGGAAAGUUCUUACUUCUUAGAUGCCUAUAAAUAUUCUUAAUUUUAAAAAUUAUAUUUUUAGGGCAGGGGGGAAAAUUACGUGUCUGAAUGAAUUUCUGUGAUUUUCGUUUUACCCAAACAGGUUAGUGUUACCAUUUACCAUUUAGGGAUUUUCUUUCUUAUCAAACAGGACAGGGAAAAGGACUGUUAAUUUCCGAAGCCGUGGUUUGUGGCUUAGAAAAGCACUGUAGGGAUUCGGCAACCACAUCACCGCCAAUCAUCGCCGCCGCUCACCGCCGCCAGAGUCAUUCACCAAGGCAACGCACCAUGUCGAGAAGGUAAAAUUGUCUGGGGUUUCUUGCUUGCAUUUAAAAACUCUUUUUCGAGAGCAUAUUGGUGCAAAACUUGACGGGAAUCAGAUGCAAUGGGAGCAUCCAGUGGGCCAAGGUUUUCUGGAAUGCAGAAGCAAGUUCUGGGGCUAUACAGAGGAUUCUUACGGGCAGCACGUUCUAAAUCUCCUGAAGAUCGGCGACGAAUUGAAUCAUUUGUUUCAGCUGAAUUCCGCCGCAAUUCUAAGCUUGUUGAUCGGAAGAAUUUUCUUUACAUUGAAUAUUUGCUUCGCCGAGGUAAAAAACAGCUUGAACAACUUAACAGCCCAGCCACUCUUGGAUUGUCAUCCUUGAAUUUGAGUUUCUCUGAGAACCAAAAACCUUAAGCCCUGUCUAAAAUUCAUAUUUUUAAUUUUUAAUCCAUCCAUGGAUUUAUGAGUGUUACAAUACAUGAAUAAUAGGUAUGUUGGUCGUUUUCAAGAAUAUAAGAUUUUGUGAUUCAUUA